UCUCUCGCAAGCGCACAUUUCAGCAAUGGAAUCAGUUGGGCACUAGCUCGUAUGUAGGCCAUUUCACUGCAAAAGUUAAUGCGGAUUACACUCUCCAUUUCGUUCACGAAAGUUCCCGAGCUGACGCUGAUUGGCAGGUAUUUACACAUGUCAGAAAGCGCAGACGAUUUUUGAAUAUUUUUAAUUACGAGUUGCAUUCGGAAGGAACUGUUGCAUUUUUACUUAAUUGUUCUUCGCAAUUCUGCUGGGGAUAAAUUAUGCGAAAAGUUGUGUUCGAAUCUGCCGGCACACAAAUGGAUCUGAAUGAGUGAUGCAGAUUGAUAGAAUCUCAGGAAUAUUUCAUCGGUUUUUCAGCAUGCGUGAUUUGUGGUUGGUGUGACUAUGAGUGCCAAAAUAAACACAGGAAGAUGCUGUUUCUUCGUCAUCAGCCUUUUUAUCAUUGCGGUGCAGGUAUGCAUGUGUUCGGAAUUGAAGUUCCGAAUCCCGAAGGAGGCGGCAUCGUCGGGGGAAGGGGUGUACCGUGUGUCCUACGGCCCCUCUCAAGGGUUCCCCGCCUCCAACUUCACAGUGGACUCAUCCCUUAUUAACCAACUCAUCACUAUCAGCGAUGUUCUGCCAGGAACUCUUUAUACAUUCCAAUUAUAUUUUUCCAACGCUACUCUUCAGGAUAAGCUCAUAUGGAACCAAGAUCUGCCUACUACUCCAGAUCCCCCUGUAAACCUGAACGUCACAGUGAUGGGGGGCAAGGUGGCCGAGGCGAUGUGGGAAGCACCCCGGCAGGGAGGCUAUACAGGAUUCAAGCUAUCCUUGGUACCGCUGGCGGAGAAAGAUGAGACGCCCGUGCGCAACCACUACAUCAGCCACCACACACCAUUCCUCCUCAGGGACCUGACUCCGGGGGCGUCCUACGAAGUACAGCUCUUCUCCGUAUUUCAUGGACAAGAUUCUUCUGUUUUCGUCACCACCAAUUUUACCACCAAGCCAAAUACUCCCGGUCGCUUCAUCGUAUGGUUUAGAAACGAGACCACUCUUCUGGUACUGUGGCAGCCUCCAUAUCCUUCAGGUAUCUUCGACAAAUAUCGGGUAAGCAUCGAUCCUGAAGAUGCCCUCCAGUCGGAGUUGCUCGUGGACAAAGAAAGAGAUCCUCCGGGACCUGCACAAGCAGCCUUCUAUGGGCUUGUACCAGGAAGGAAUUACAACAUAUCCGUCCAGACUGUCAGUGAGAAUCAGAUCAGUGAACCUACCAGGGCUCAAUACAGGACAGUGCCUCUUCCUCCUGUCAACGUGACAUACGAUCCUUCACGUUUAGCAUCUUUUGCUUUCGACGUCCGGUGGGACCCACCCACAAAGCCCUGCGAAUUUGACCGGUAUCAAGUGGCGCUGGGUAUCCGAAAUACCGUCCGAUACCUUAUCAACAAAGAUGAAGAGCGAGUGGUCACCUUCGAUGAAGAACUUGAACCCGGACAGACUUACGAAGUUGUGGUCAAGACGGUCAGCGGGAAUGUUGCAAGCUGGCCGGUUACAGCGAAUAUUACCACAAGACCUCUACCUGUACGAAUUACGAGCUCAUCUUCUGAACAUGUUGGGGAUAUCUUAGUGGCAUGGGAGCCAGCAAAAAAUAGCACUCAAGACUCCUACAGAGUGAAAUACAAUGACAUGGAGGCCUUUAACAGUGGAGGCAGUUUGCUCGUGGUGCAGAACACCAGCAUCAACUUGACAUCUCUACUGCCUGGCAGGAACUACUCCAUCAGCGUGUCCGCCGUCAGCAAGAAGAUCUCCAGCGAACCGACGGUCGUCUUUCAACCAACCAAACCAUCUUCUCCUGUUAUCGAAUCUCUUCUGCCAUCUGAAUCAGGUGGUUGGAAUCUGACAUGGAAGUCUGAUGUAACCAGUCGCCAGGACCAAUAUUCGAUCAUGUACAUCCGCAACGACACACGAUACUUACAAGAGAAGAUAAUCGGCCGCAACUGGCUGGUCCUCGAAGACCUCUUCCCGGGAGCCGGAUAUGAGAUCAAGGUGUAUGCCAUCAGCUUUAACCUCUGGAGCGAACCACAUUCCUAUUUCCAAACCAUUCCUCCACUGAAGCCUCGAGGUCUUCAAGUAGUCAAGGCCAGCAACACGAACAUGAUCAUUGUGUGGACAGCACCAUCGGGUUCUUUGUAUGAUCACUUUAAUGUAAGAUACCAACCUGUUGGAUCAGCGUUUUGGAGACAAAUGGGUUUCGUGAACACCACGUCCUGCGAGAUCAAAGAUCUGGUGCCCGGAGAAAGGUACUCGGUUCAAGUGACGAGCGUCAGCAAUAAAAUAGAGAGCUUGGAAGCCGAAGAAAUCGAGCAGACAAUGUAUCCAAAACCCAUCAAAAAGGUUAAGGAGACUCUGGACUCGUACAACAUCACUUUUGAAUGGGAGGUCCCGGAGGGGUAUCGGGAUUACUACAUCAUCCUCUACAACCCCAUUGACGAUCCUCAGAACCAGAAAUCCCUCCAGGUUGCAGCGAACGAUACGAAACCUAUGGAAAAGAUGGACGUCAUCAUUGACGAACUGAAACCGGGGGAACUCUAUUCAUUCCGCUUCUAUGCAGUGAGCCACAACCUCAGAAGCGAAGGAAUCACAGUACAGACAAGAACAAAACCAGUCAUCGAUUCCGUGAUCAAUAUCGUCACCCGGGAACAUGAGACCAAGACACUUGGCAUCAAGUACACCCCGACCCCGCGUCGCAGCGUAGUAUUCGACCGAUACCGAUUUCAGUUGAGUGACUCUUCUGUACCUGCCCAGGAGAAGCUCUUCAACGACACCAAUCGUCUGGUACUUUUCGACAAUCUGGUGCCAGGGAAGCUCUAUGACAUCACCAUAUGGACAGUGAGCGGAGGGGUCAGCAGCGUUCCCAUCCACCGGCAGACCAGACUGUAUCCCGAGCCCAUCUCUGAGAUUCGCUCCACCACUAUAACAGACACAGAAAUCACCCUCUCUUGGGACAAGCCUCAAGGAGAAAUGGAUGGAUAUGAGAUCGAGUACCAGGAUCCAGUCGGGCACCUGGUGAAGAACGUGAGUUUUGAAGAAGUGAAUACGUUCCGAGGCCUGAAACCUCACCACAACUAUACUUUCCUGGUGUCUGUCAUCAGUGGAUAUGAUACAGCCACGGUGCGGAGGAGUAGACCCCUAUCCAAGACAUUCCAGACUCUAGAAUCAGUGCCUGGUAGGGUACAUUUCUUCCGUGCAGUAGAUGUAAAACCUAGCGAAGUAACCUUACAAUGGUCACUGCCAUCUAACGAACAAAAUGGAGUGCUCACAGGUUAUAAAGUAACUUACUACAUCAAGGGAAGUCCUAAACGCAGACAGGAAUUCUUCGAACCUACAGAGAGCAGGGGCGUGGUCACAGGAUUGCAACCGGGAAUGGAUUAUGUAUUCGAAAUUCAAGCGCACACCAAGGUAGGACCCGGAAGCACAGCUAUAUCGGAAGAAGCCACGCCCAUUUGGCCUCCACCUCCUCCCGAGCCUAACGUAGUUCCGAAGGUGGUCGGUCGAACAUCAAACACCAUCAAAGUGGAAUUUGGUAGUCACUUUUUCUCAAACGUCAAUGGCAAGAUCAUAGCUUAUACCAUAAUCGUGGCAGAAGACGAUGCUAAAGACUCCACUGCCCUCAGAAUGCCAACAUGGGGUGAGGUGCAGCAGUACGCCCUGUGGCCACCCUAUCAGGUGUUGGAACCUUACUAUCCCUUCAACCAUUCUUUGGUGGAGGAUUUCGUAGUUGGUGCAGAAUCGUGCCACGGCGUAAAAGGAUACUGCAACGGACCUCUCAAAGCUGCCUCUACCUACAGGAUCAAACUCAGGGCUUUUACCACUCCGACAGCAUUUACGGAUACUUUCUUCACUUAUCCAAUACAGACAGAGCCCGACAACCGGACGCUGCUGGCCGGCAUCCUUGUGCCCUUAAUCGUUCUUGUGCUGGCCGUUGGGGUGGCCCUGCUUUGGAGAAGAAGGCGGCUAGCCCCCUUCGCCAAGAAAGCUAAGCAUGCCAAGGGCGAUGCCAUAUCCAUCGCGGACAGCGAAGUCAUCACUAGCCGUCCCGUGAAGUUGAAAGACUUCGGUGAUCAUUAUCGCAUCAUGGCAGCAGAUUCGGACUUCCGUUUCUCGGAGGAAUUCGAACAGUUGAAGAAUGUGGGGAGGGAACGGGCUUGCAAUGCGGCCGACCUGCCAGUGAAUCGACCUAAGAACAGAUUCACUAAUAUUCUUCCCUACGAUCACUCCAGGAUCAAACUGAUGCCCACGGAUGAUGAGGAAGGCACAGACUACAUCAACGCCAACUACAUUCCGGGUUAUAAUUCUCCACGGGAGUUCAUCGUGACUCAGGGUCCGCUUCACAGCACCCGUGAUGACUUCUGGCGGAUGGUGUGGGAGCAGAACAGCAGGGCCAUAGUGAUGCUGACCCGCUGCAUCGAGAAGGGACGCGAAAAAUGCGAUCAUUACUGGCCCUUCGACAUGCAGCCCGUCUACUAUGGUGAUAUACAAGUCAUCCUACUCAACGAAUCACAGUACCACCACUGGACCAUCUCCGAGUUCAAAGUCUCCAGGAAUGACCAGUCACGCGUCGUGCGGCAUUUCCACUUCACGACGUGGCCGGACUUCGGCGUCCCCGAACCUCCGCAGAUCCUGGUGAAAUUCGUCCGGUCAGUCAGAGAGAGAAUUGGCAACGAUCCAAAGCCUAUUGUAGUCCACUGCAGUGCGGGUGUAGGUCGAUCGGGCACUUUCAUUGCACUCGAUAGAGUGAUACAGCACAUCCAGAAGCACGAUUAUGUCGACAUUUUCGGCAUCGUUUACGAAAUGAGGAAAGAACGGGUAUGGAUGGUGCAGAACGAGCAACAAUACAUUUGUAUUCAUCAAUGCUUGCUAUGCGUCUUGGAAAAGAAAGAGGAAGUCUUGGAUCUUGGGCGACCAGAAGCGCAUGAUAACCAAGGUUACGAUGGAUCGCUUCCAUCUUCAGCUAAACUCUCUGUCAAUCUGUCAAAUGGAGACAUUGGGAAUAAGGCAUAAGGAGACCUCGGUUUCUUCACUGCAACUGUACCUGAUUCGCAUUGAACACGUUUGGGAAGACUUUGUUGUGAUGACGAAGGAAUCGCCGAGUCCGGGAUAUGAUGCUCUUUCAUCUUCUUCAUCUCGGAGCAAGCGGAUGCUGUCCAAUCCAUCACUCUAAUUGUCUUUCACCUGGGGUCAAUCACGAACUGUAACCGUGCCUGAUUGGUAUCGGCACUUAACUGCAGUGGUGUUUUUAGUCAGCUGCUCUCUUUCAACAAGCAGCCCUUUCCGCGAGCUUUAUUAUUAUUUUUUUAUUUUUAUUGUGUGUGUUUUUAGAAGACUUCCAUUACAGCUGCUUGUUGUGUUCCUCCAAUGUAAUAGAAUUAAUGCAUAGCUGUAUUUAUGUGGACGCUCACGUGCCAUUUUUGUUUUGUGAUGAACUAGCGAAUGAACACAAAAAAAGAUGUAUUACUGGAACUGCACAAGCUGCUUGCAGAACUAAUAAGAAGAACACUCAUCAUUGGUUAACUUUUUGUAAAAAUUUAUUAACCUUUCUUAUUACUAUUUAUUGUGAUUCAUCUUUUUCAACUUAAAUCAAUUUGGAAGGAAGAAUUUUAUUUUCACCGGGUAAUAGGAUUAGGUAUACAAUUGAAAAAGAACUUCAAUGCAUUAAGUUAUUCAAAACAGUUGCGCCGAUUAUAAAUUGCUAUAAUUUUCAUAUCAAGAAUGGUAAGAAGGAAAAAAAAUCUUCUCAGUAAGCUGGAAGACAAAGGUAGAUUCCUUUAUGUCUAAGUUGCUAUCAGUCAACAUAAAUUGUUGAUGUUCGAAAUAGUUCAAAUUAGGGUUGGGGAAUCACUUUCCACCUCAUGACUUCUAAGAUAUUGCAGUUACAAAAAAACUUUUAGUACAAAAGUUAUUCAUCUUAAUGAGACGCUAAUUUGACUAUUUGGAUUUAUUUUUCUAUCUUCAAUGUUAAGAAAAUUAUAGUGAAGUGAAUAUUUCCAUCCACCACCGCCAUUUCCACUCCAUUUCAGCUAUAUGGGCCAUUUACGAACUCGUCCGAGAAUUUUACAUUUCUAACAACAUAUUCCAAGCCAGUUAAAAUCCAAACAAAAUUACUUUAGUUAUCCUGUUUAUAAGAUAACAUGGACAAAGCAUUAUAAUUUGUUUUAGAUUCUAGAGACCACGAUCGUUGAAGAACUGCAGAAAUUUUCCUGAAGUCUUGUCAUGAGAACCAUUGCAUUGGUUAGUCUUCCUAUAGGAAUCUACCUAAAAAUUGACGUAGUAUAGAAAGAAUCUUAAAGUUUUAGUAAAUAAUAAUUGCUCUUGUGAUUUACCUUAGUCACAAAGAACAUCAUCUGUGCCCAUUUCAUUCCGAGUACCCGGCAGCAUACCCUAGCCAUUGAUGAACAUUCUAUAAAUAUUUGUAUUUUCUUCAUAUUGAUAUGUAGAAAUGCUGAAAUACUUUUUGUAAAAAUGUUAAAUACUAUACCAAAAAUUACUUUUGGGAUCAGCAUGGAAUGUGCUGUAGACUUUGUCUUAACGACUUUUUUGAGUGGGGCAGUGAACGAAUUGAAGAUACACAUAGAGAAUGAGUCGUGACUGAAAUGGACUACCAUGUUGAUGUUGCCCGUAGGACGAAAUGUGACUUCUCUUUUUUCCGCAAACAAUAUCUAUAUGGCAGACCAUUUCACGCUAGACACUGUGAAACAUGUUCAGAGCCAUUGUUGAGCAUUCGAUCGCCACAUUAUAUUCUACCAAGGCUAUUUAAAUUUUCUGAAAUUACUUCUUGGAUUUUCAUUUCAUUGGUGUAAGUCAUUGAUUCUGUCUCAAUGUCUUCUAUGCGCAACAAUAAACGAACUAAAGAUAUGUAUAGGGAAUAUGUCACGUGGCUGUGAAAUGAACUACUACAUUGAUGUUGCUAGUGGAAUCAAACAUGACCACCUGUGCAACAUCUAUGUGGUAGUCCAUUUCACGCUACACUGUGAAAAAUGUUCACAAACAAUGGAGACAUUUAAUAGCACAGUAUUUUUUGCAUGUGGCUAUUUAAAUCUUUAGAAAUUACUUCUUGUCUCUUCAUUUCAUUGUGUUCUGUAGUAGGUUGAAACUUAACAUCUUAUUUGUGUAAGGGUAUUUAAGGUUUAUACAGAGAAAAUGUUCCACAAGGUAAUUAACAGAAGGUAAUUAUCGUAUCUGUAUUAUCAUAACAGUUUGUUAUCCGUGCAAUUCUUUUGAAUAACUUUGUGCAAUUUGGGAAUCAUUUCGAGAUGUAGUUACUUUAGGGGUAUAUAUUACAAAAAAUGCUAAUAUUGCAUUUAUUCAUUUUUU